GACGAACGCUGGCGGCGUGCUUAACACAUGCAAGUCGUACGGUAAGGCCCUUUCGGGGGUACACGAGUGGCGAACGGGUGAGUAACACGUGAGUAACCUGCCCACAACUUUGGGAUAACGCUAGGAAACUGGUGCUAAUACUGGAUAUGUGCUCCUGCUGCAUGGUGGGGGUUGGAAAGCUCCGGCGGUUGUGGAUGGACUCGCGGCCUAUCAGCUUGUUGGUGGGGUAGUGGCCUACCAAGGCGGCGACGGGUAGCCGGCCUGAGAGGGUGACCGGCCACAUUGGGGCUGGGAUACGGCCCAGACUCCUACGGGGGGCAGCAGUGGGGAAUAUUGCACAAUGGGCGCAAGCCUGAUGCAGCAACGCCGCGUGCGGGAUGACGGCCUUCGGGUUGUAAACCGCUUUCAGCAGGGACGAAGCUUUUUGUGACGGUACCUGCAGAAGAAGCACCGGCUAACUACGUG
rnacentral:rRNA from 1 species